rnacentral:rRNA from 1 species
CUGUGGUAAUUCUAGAGCUAAUACAUGCACCAAAGCUCUGAUUUCUUGACGAGCGCAUCUAUUAGAUUAAAACCAAUCGGGUUUCUACCCGUCAUUUGGUGACUCUGAAUAGCUAUGGCUGAUCGCAUGGUCUUGUACCGGCGACAUAUCUAUCAAGUGUCUGCCUUAUCAACUUUCGAUGGUAGUUUAUGUGCCUACCAUGGUUGUAACGGGUAACGGAGAAUAAGGGUUCGACUCCGGAGAGGGAGCCUGAGAAACGGCUACCACAUCCAAGGAAGGCAGCAGGCGCGCAAAUUACCCACUCUCGGCAUGAGGAGGUAGUGACGAAAAAUAACGAGACCGUUCUCUUUGAGGCCGGUUAUCGGAAUGGGUACAAUUUAAACCCGUUAACGAGGAUCUAUGAGAGGGCAAGUCUGGUGCCAGCAGCCGCGGUAAUUCCAGCUCUCAAAGUGUAUAUCGUCAUUGCUGCGGUUAAAAAGCUCGUAGUUGGAUCUUCGUCUCAGGACUCAGUCCGUCUUAUGGACGUGAACUGGGCUCCUAGACUAAUAUUGCCGGUUUUCUUUGUGUUGCCUUCAUUGGUCGCACAAGGUGGCCAGCUAGUUUACCUUGAAAAAAUUAGAGUGCUCAAAGCGGGCUAAUGCCUGAAUAUUCGUGCAUGGAAUAAUGAAAUAGGAUCUCGGUUCUAUUUUGUUGGUUUUCUGAUCUGAGAUAAUGGUUAAGAGGGACGGACGGGGGCAUUCGUAUCGCUGCGUGAGAGGUGAAAUUCUUGGACCGUAGCGAGACGCCCGACUGCGAAAGCAUUUGCCAAGAAUGUCUUCAUUAAUC